rnacentral:rRNA from 1 species
CGGGUGAGUAACACGUGAAUAACCUACCUAUAAGACUGGGAUAACUUCGGGAAACCGGAGCUAAUACCGGAUAAUAUUUUGAACCGCAUGGUUCAAAAGUGAAAGACGGUCUUGCUGUCACUUAUAGAUGGAUCCGCGCUGCAUUAGCUAGUUGGUAAGGUAACGGCUUACCAAGGCAACGAUGCAUAGCCGACCUGAGAGGGUGAUCGGCCACACUGGAACUGAGACACGGUCCAGACUCCUACGGGAGGCAGCAGGC